UGCGGCAGGAGGUAUUGCAAUCAGACAACCCCCUCGCCUUUUACUAGGGGGUUCCGUGUUCUGCCUUCAUUCAAUGCCGCAUUCCGAAUUUUUCAGCUCUCAGCUUUGUUCUGAGUU
rnacentral:snRNA from 1 species